rnacentral:rRNA from 1 species
CCUACGGGUGGCAGCAGUGAGGAAUAUUGGUCAAUGGGCGGAAGCCUGAACCAGCCAAGUAGCGUGCAGGAUGACGGCCCUACGGGUUGUAAACUGCUUUUAUACGGGAAUAACGCGCCUUCCGUGUGGGAUUUUGUAUGUACCAUAUGAAUAAGGAUCGGCUAACUCCGUGCCAGCAGCCGAGGUAAUACGGAGGAUCCGAGCGUUAUCCGGAUUUAUUGGGUUUAAAGGGAGCGUAGGUGGAUUGUUAAGUCAGUUGUGAAAGUUUGCGGCUCAACCGUAAAAUUGCAGUUGAAACUGGCAGUCUUGAGUACAGUAGAGGUGGGCGGAAUUCGUGGUGUAGCGGUGAAAUGCUUAGAUAUCACGAAGAACUCCGAUUGCGAAGGCAGCUCACUGGACUGCAACUGACACUGAGGCUCGAAAGUGUGGGUAUCAAACAGGAUUAGAUACCCGGGUAGUC